AGGGAAACCGAGUCUUAACUGGGCGUUAAGUUGCAGGGUAUAGACCCGAAACCCGGUGAUCUAGCCAUGGGCAGGUUGAAGGUUGGGUAACACUAACUGGAGGACCGAACCGACUAAUGUUGAAAAAUUAGCGGAUGACUUGUGGCUGGGGGUGAAAGGCCAAUCAAACCGGGAGAUAGCUGGUUCUCCCCGAAAGCUAUUUAGGUAGCGCCUCGUGAACUCAUCUUCGGGGGUAGAGCACUGUUUCGGCUAGGGGGUCAUCCCGACUUACCAACCCGAUGCAAACUGCGAAUACCGAAGAAUGUUAUCACGAGAGACACACGGCGGGUGCUAACGUCCGUCGUGAAGAGGGAAACAACCCAGACCGCCAGCUAAGGUCCCAAAGUCACAGUUAAGUGGGAAACGAUGUGGGAAGGCUCAGACAGCCAGGAUGUUGGCUUAGAAGCAGCCAUCAUUUAAAGAAAGCGUAAUAGCUCACUGGUCGAGUCGGCCUGCGCGGAAGAUGUAACGGGGCUAAACUGUGCACCGAAGCUGCGGCAGCGACGCUUAUGCGUUGUUGGGUAGGGGAGCGUUCUGUAAGCCUGCGAAGGUGUCCUGUGAGGGAUGCUGGAGGUAUCAGAAGUGCGAAUGCUGACAUAAGUAACGAUAA
rnacentral:rRNA from 1 species